AGUGGCGGACGGGUGAGUAACGCGUGGGUAACCUGCCUCAUACAGGGGGAUAACAGUUGGAAACGACUGCUAAUACCGCAUAAGCGCACAGUACCGCAUGGUACGGUGUGAAAAACUCCGGUGGUAUGAGAUGGACCCGCGUCUGAUUAGCUAGUUGGCGGGGUAACGGCCCACCAAAGCGACGAUCAGUAGCCGACCUGAGAGGGUGGACGGCCACAUUGGGACUGAGACACGGCCCAAACUCCUACGGGAGGCAGCAG
rnacentral:rRNA from 1 species